rnacentral:lncRNA from 1 species
AUGGACAGUAAUAAAAGAAAAGCACUGAUUGAAUGGGUAUGUAUAAUUUUGAUUUACCUUUAAAUGAACAUUUUAUUUUCUCAUUGACGUUGUCUCAUCACUGGUAUCAAAACAAUGUAAAUUACUCUGAUGCUCAAUUGUUCAUCACUCCCUACGUAUAUUUAUUUUCCGUUGGCAUUUCAAAGAUUUUUUAGAGUUUGAUUUCAGACUUUUAUUCUAAAAGCUACAUUACCUUGUGACCAUUUCUGUCUUAGACGUCAACCAGGAUCAUGUAUUUAAUAUUGCAGUAAAUAUUGACUCUCAGUGUACAAACAUAUGUCUUCCAUCAACAUUUAUACUAAUUUGUUCAGACUUUAUUUCCAGCGUAAAAAUUGAGUCAAGCUGCUUAUAUUAAGAUCCUUACAUUUCUACUACAUUUAUAUAAUACUAUUUUGUUUGUUUUACUUUCAGGUUAAUUCUUUAGUUCCAAGUAAUUCUAUCAGAUCAGUUUUAGAUUUACAAGAUGGAAAAGCUUUUAUAAAACUUUUACAGCUAUCGUAAGUACAAUGAGGGAUAGUAUAAAGAAUUUAAAGUUUAUCAAGGAAAGGCAAUAAUUUUAACUUUAUAAACUACAAUUUAUAUGUGAAAAUCAGAAAAAAUGUCAAAACGUCAUACAAUAAAAGACUCCACUUAAGAAAUAAUAACUGCUUUAAUUUAUAAGAUAUAUAAGAAUGUGUAAGCCAUGUCUCAAAAUUUUUAACAUGUGAAUCAAAGGUUGAAGUAUAUAGAAAUUUUGGGGCUACGAUACAUCAUGUCAGUUGCACACAUAUUAAUUAUGCUAUUUUGUUGUAGCGAUGAAUGUUUAGUUCCUGAGGCACCACAGACUUCUCAACAAAGAUUAGAUUUGGUAAAACAGUAUUUAGAAGGUACUUACUAGUAUUAUGUCUGCAUGUACAAGGUCAUAUAGACAAAGCAUUUUGAUAUUCACUAUCUUCUCCAAUUCAAAAAAGAUGCACAUAAUGCAAUAUUUCCCUGAUGUCCUUGACAUAACUGUUAACAAGGGUAAUUAUGAAAUUACUAUUAAUCCUUGCAAGAGCAAUUUUCAAGUUAUUCUGUAAGAUGAAGAAACAAGCUAGAUCAUAAAAUUCAGGUUAAGCUAAUGAAUGAAUUCAAUCAUUAUCUUCAACAAAUUAAUAAAAUAUAUAAUAAAACUUCAUUGCAAUAUUCUGUAUUGUAGGAUUUUAUUCAGUGUCACUACUGCCAGGAAGUUCUCUCCUAGACUUCAAGCUUAUUGUUCAGGACAGUAUUAGCAGAAAAGACAAAGAAUGGGAACUUGGAAAGGUUUGUUGUAAAGCAAAAACAUGGUAGCCGAAUAGAGAUAGGCGACAAUAAGAAUAAAGUUUUAAGAAUUUGCAGACUGACCCUAUUAAUUUGUGCCUCAAAAUACUAGUCUUGUGUUGUUUUUUUUACCCCUUUGUUAGUCAAGUGUGAAUAAUUGUAGUUCUUACCUUCCUCAGAAGUUAAAAAUUGAGCAAAAUAAAAGAAACCCUAGUUUUCUUAGAGCUAUUUCAGGAAAUACUAUGUUGUUUGGGGGGGCAUAGACUUUUCUCAAGCACAUAGAACUUUUACUAUGUUUUGGAUCUUCUGGGGGGAAUUUUAACAUAGACUUUGAGAUCUCAAUUUUUUGCCACCCUAUUUUAAGUGUACAUUAAUGAUUUUUCAUCCUUACAUAUAUUUACGGGUUGUUGUCUCUUUGACACAUUCCCCAUUUCCAUUCUCAAUUUUAUUAGCAUAUAUAUUGUAAGAUGAGAUAAAAUAAAGUAUUGUUAAAACUCUGUUUUAGAUAUUAUUAGCAUUGUUAGAAGCAUGUGUACUAGAGAAGAAGAACAAUACAUUUGUUACCACGGCAACAAGUCUUCCAGAAUUGGUCCAGAUGGAGAUAAUGCAGAUGUUACAGCCAAUGAUCAUCAAUGCUCAAGACGUGGGUAACCACUUGACCGAAGACUUUGCUGAUAUUCUUACUAAAACUACAGGUUUGUUUGGAUUAAAUGUAUUUUAAUGUGUUUUAUUUUAUGUUUAUCUUGCUUGCUAGAUGUACAAUGAAUGUAUAUGUUUUUGUUCCUUCUUUAUUCCUUGUAGAUUACUUUAACUUGUAGUUUUGUCAUAUUUAUAACUGACAGUUAGGUAAAAGUUGAAAUGGUCCUUUAAGAAUAAAAUAGAUAACAAUUAUCAUACAUAUGGUUAUAUACAUUGGGUAUUAUUUGUUUGUGAUGCAUAAUGUGUUUUAAUAACUAAAAGAACACACACAAAAUUUUAGCAGCUUUGAUUUAAAUGCCAUGUGUUUUCUCUAAACCAAUCACCCCUGAAACAUAACAUUUAAGUCAGAAAGUUGGUAGUUCAAUGGCGUUACCUGGGCUUUAAUGGAAAUUUUUCUAAGCAGAAACUGACAAGCAGAUAUUUGUUUGUGUCAGACAGAAGUCUAUAAAUAUCAAAGUAAGAAGAUGGGGUAUGAUUUUCAAUAAGACAACUAACUACUAUAGUAGAGGAGAGUCCUCUCACAAGCUAAAAACUAAAAUAUAAGGGUUAACAAUACAAGUAACACCUUGUAAUUGAUAUGAAAAUAAGGUGGUUAUUUAUUUUUUAGCCUUUUGUACUUGUAAUAAGGCUAUAUCUUACAUCAUGUCUUAUGAAAUAAUGAUUUAAAGAAAACAAUCAAAGAUAGUCAGGACUAUUGAAAAUUGUUGUAUAAUCAGAAUUACUAAAAGAGAUAAACUCAAUGUUGUCGAUUUAAAUCUUUAGAUCAUAUACUUAGUUGUAGCAGUACCUUAAAUGGAAACCGCGGAUACAGACUUUCUGUUUUAAAAUGUUUUUGACAAUUCAUGCACAAUUAAGAACAAUAUGAUGUUUAUAAUUUCACAUUUGUUAAUCCCAUAGUAUAAGACAUAUGAUUUUUAUUUGGAUAAAAAUGUUCAGGUUUAGUCAUUUGUUUGAAGACCUUCAACACGAAAAAACAUAAAAUCUAAUAAGUAUUAAUUAAUAACCUUGCACCCUCUCGGUACCUUGUUUUUCUGUUCUUAGACACCAAUGCUCACCAAGAUGCUGCUCUUUUCUUCCAACUAGUUACCCAAGGCAACAUGAGUCGAGUGACAUCAACACCAAAUGUGGACCAUUCUUUCAACUUUAGUAGAUUUUCAAAUCAUGGUACUGGUUUGUUCUUUUACCUUUUUCACUUUUGCUUUUCUUUUGCGUUUUUCACAGCAUGCUAGUAAAUAUUUUUGAAGAAUUAUUACCUGCAAGCUAUUGAUGUUAUUUUAAUAUUUAUUUCCAAGUUUUGUUUUUUGCUAACAUAGUUGCUUACUAAUAUUUUCUGUUUUAAAGAUGCAGUACCUGUUUUAAAAGGAAAUGCUAUGUGUUUGGAAAGAAUGAUACAAUUUUAAAAGAUAUAAAUUUUAUGUAUUUUCAAGAUAAUGCAACUUUAUUGUCAGUAUAGAGAUGGAUUUGGAUAGAUUGAAUUUCAAUAAAGCUUCAAAACUGGAAUAUUAUUUUGUAUUUAAUUGUUUAAUACUCAAAUACUUCAUUUAUGGCCAUGAUUCAAGGAUGCUUAGGGUCCUUUGUUUUGUAAAAUUAACAUAAUAUCUAAGUUCUACUCUGAGGCAUCCUUUGUAAUAAUUCAAUCAGAUUAAAAGUAUAUAUUUUAUGUUGGGGAACAUAAUACACAUAUUUGUCAGUGCUAGUAUUUAAUGGAUUUGGGAUGUUUGGAAGGUCCUUCCAAAAUCCCUCACAUCCCAACAUACUUUCCUCGCGUUAUUUGCAUAUAAUUCUUUGAGUGUUUGUGCAUAUAAAAUUUUAUUUUAAUAAUUGUGAAUUUAAAAUUUUAUUUACAUGUAAGUAAUUGUGAAUAUAAAAUUUUCCUUAAUUGUGCAUACUAAUUUUUCUUUGAGUAAUUGUGCAUAUUAAUCUUCCUUUGACAAUGUUUGAGUAAUUGUGCAUAUUAAUUUUUCUUUGAGUAAUUAUGAAUAGAAAUUUAUAUCUUUGAAUUAUUAUACAUAUAAAUUUUUGAGUAAUUGUACACACAAAUUUUUGAGUAAUUGUACACAUUUAUAUAAAUCUUUGAGUAAUUUUGCAAUUGUGGACAUAUGUCUAAAAUAAAAUUUCCUGCACUACCAACUCGCAUUCAUUUAAAUGGGAAUUCUCUCAUGAGCUAGCAUCUCAGAUUGUGAGACUUUAAUAAAAAAAAGCUUUGACAAUAUUAUAGAAGAAAAAAGAAAAAACGUCUUUCAUGUAAAAUAAUAACAACUUCAGACAUACAUGUGUUUCUGACAUUGUUAUGAACCUGUAAUGUCAUUUGAAUAUUACUAUUAUGAACCUGAAAUGUCACUUGAAAAUUUUUCAGUGGCUAGUCCUGUAUCUCAUCAACAAUUUAACACCAGUUUGUCAUCAGAAAUAGCCUCUCCUCUCAGAAUGAUGACCAUAGCUAAUUCACCAUGUACACCACUAAGUGCAUUGAUGCAGUCACCACAACUGGCACAGAAGGUAUUGUAUAAAUCUGUAGGCUAAUUUUCAAACAAUUGGACUUUUGUUUUUAAGUUACAUUAAAUAGAAAUUGAGAUUAUGAAAAGAAUAAUGCAAUUAUUUCACUAAGAAAGAAGAUACAGAAUUAAAUGAAAUAAGCUAGUACACUUUACAUUUCAGAUGAGGCGCCAUUUUGAUUAAAUGAGGGUGAUUAUAUAUGAUGCACUACAAAACUUGGACAUGUGUCAUAGUUAAUAUUUUUAUUUGCAGGCUAUAGCUGUUAUGCAGGAUUUACUUGUGUCAAAUGUAGUAAUUGAGUUAUAUAUGUGUAUAUGCAUUUCCAUUUCAGGCACUUAUUCGACAGAGAGAGAGGGAAAUUAAAAAGCUUGAGUUGUCCCUACAGAAUGAAAGACAUCUUAGGACAGAACUAGAAUUUGACCUUCAUGAAAAGGUUGAAAAGUUAAAUGAUAAAGGUACUGAUUUUGUUAUUAUUUUUUGUUUAUUAUAAUGUAUCUCAUGAAUUGUAGCCUAGAAAGUAUGCUCCUAGUGACAACAUCUUCAUACAUGUUUUUACAUAUUUUCAUACAGUUUCUCUGGAUAUUUUGUUUUUAUUCUUUGGGUAUUUUGAUAUAUACACAUGGAAAAAAGUAUUGCAACACAAAAUUGAAAUUGAAAUUAAAAUAACAUUUAAUUGUUUGUGUUUUUCUAAGAUAAUAAUUAAAAGAGAUUUGAGAAAGUAGUCGAUCAACAAGAAAAAUUCAAGACAUUAGUAAAUAGAUACACUAAGACAACAAGAAAAGAACAAGUUCACAAGGUAAUAUUAAUGCUGCAACAAUAAAAAAAUAACAGGUUUCCAUGAAAAACAUAAGUCUCAAAGAAAACAUAAUAAGACAUGCCCAUUACAAAAAAUACUUAAAAAAGAGGAGUAAACAUAAGACCAAAAAAAAAAUAUCGCGUGCCGACUGCUCCACUUUUGUACACAUAUUCAUGUGAUCAUAGAAGGAAAAAUUAAAUGAAGAUUUUUUCAAUUUUUUGCCGAAACGCUUUUCAUUAUUUAUCAACUGAAUGAUAUUAUGAGAUAUAUUUUGACUUUAGAUUUGAACAUUUAUUCAAAUCGCUUCUACCGUCGAGGGUUCAACAGAAAAUGAAUGAUAUUGGAACAUCAGUCUAUGAAUUUUGACAGAUUCAUACAGCUUACAGAAGAUUAAAAAUGAGAAUAACAGAGGUAUAGUUUGCACAAAAACAUCUGAUGUAGAAGUCUGACCAUAUAAAAUUUCAUAUAGCUAUGCAUAGUUUUCUCACAGAAACAACUUUUUUUUUUUAGGUUACUAGCAGCUCAUAGAUGUAGAAGACUGUAAGUUUUGGAACAGCAAGCUUUUGAACUUGUCAAAAACCAUUGCAUAAUAAAUUAAAACGACAUAUGAUAAUUAGUUUAAAGAAUUUAAAGAUCGAUUCAUCUUUUUUAUUUGCAUAUAAAUUUCAGAAUCUCUUUGUAUAUUAUCGUAAGUGUCAGACUGGACAUUGAAAAGCCGAUGAAGAAUUAAUGAACCAAGUUACUUAGUCGGAUGUAGAUUGAAAAAUAGACAUAUUCAACACAAGGGUGAACGGCGAAAAACAUAGAUAAACAUUCAUGAAAAAAAAUCUUAUCAAAUUGCAGCUUGAAAAAAAGAUCAAGAGAAUGGAAGAGCUUACUAAGUUUGAAGCGGUAAUAAGUCAUAAUUUUUCUAAACGAUAACAUGAUGUGAACAGUUUUGUAUUUGUUUGAAAUUCUGACAUUGUAAAGUACAUUACUAAAAUUGUCACAUUUUUUUGUACAAAAACCAUAAAAGAACCUAGACCCUUUUUUUCAAGGUCAAUGGAAUGUUCUGAUAUCAGUUUUACAAAUUUUAUAUUUCAUUAAAAGGCAGAUUUUCAAAAUUUAAAAAUUCAAGGUGUUGCAAUACUUUUUUCCAUGUGUAUAUUUUAAAACAUUUAAUGAUAUGAUUUGAAUAAUUUGUUUAUAAUGCAGAAUACAUGUAGGUGGCUAAGUGGUGGCAAAACCCAUGCAACAUGAUUAAUGAUGUUUUGUGUUUUCUAUAGAUAACAAAAUAAAAGAAUUUGAGAAAGUAGUGAAGCAACAGAGAAAAGUUCAAGACAUGGUAGAUGAAAUAGAUACACUAAGACAAGAAAAAGAGAAGAACGAAAAGGAUCUCACAAGGUAUUAUUAACACUCUUGCAACAAUAAAAAAAGAGACAGAAGAUACCAUCAAUCAAAAAACCAUAAGUCAAAAAGAAAAACAUUAAAAAGACAUUCCCCAUUACAAAACACUACUUAAAAAACUGGAGUUUGAGCAACAUAUACCCAACCAGAGAGGGGAAAUAAUCUGGUGCUAUGGAAGAGUGAGCAGCUCUGCUCCACUUAUUGUACACAUAUCAUGUUAAUCACAGCAAGGAAUAAAAUAAAUGAUAAGUUAAUGGAACAAUUUUAUUCAAAUAAACAGCUGCAUUCCUUAUUUUUCACCUAAACUGAAUGUUAUGAGAUAUAUACUUCAAAUUUUCAGAUUUGGACAUUUAUAAAAUGUCUUUACUUUUUUUUUCCAGGGUUCAACAGAAAAUGAAUGAAUUGCAGAACAUCAAAGAUCAUUAUGAGAUUGUAGAACAAGAAAAUAAACAGCUGACAGAAGAGUUUUCAAAAAUGAGAACAGAGGUAUGUUUGCACUGAUAGAUUUAUGAUGUGUGUAUGUUUGAAGUCUGGCCAUAUAAAAUUUCUACUAGCUUACAUAGUUUUCUCCCAUUGUUUCAACUUGUUAUUUGCAUUUCUUUUUAGAGUUCAGUAGCUAAAUAGUUUGUGGACGCUGCACUGAAAGUUUAGUUGUGAAACAGAUAACCUUUGUAGUUUCACUUUGUCAAAAUAUGUUCAGAGAACAUUAUAUUUUGACAAAUUAACAUUAUGAAGUAAAAUUAGUUAUAUGGCAAUUUGAACUCAUACUUUUUUCCGUUGUGGGGUGCAUUAUUUAUUAUUCAAUAAAAUUUGUAUAUUAUCUGUAGGUUCAGACAAUGGACAGUCUAAAGAAAAGCCAUGAGGAAUACAGAACUCAGUGUCAUCUCAAGUCAGUAAGAUUGUCAGAACUAGAAAGCUUGAUUCAACACAAGAAUAGCGAAUUGGAAAGCAAAAACAUAGAGAUGUGUCAUUCUGAGGAGAAAAACAGAAACUUGAUAAGUCAAAUUGACAGCUUGAAAAAAGAUCAAGAAGAAUUUGAAGAGCUACUAAGUUGCAGAGGUAAGAAAGGUGUUAUACCCUCACAACACGUAUUGAGAGAUAUAUUAUUAUGUUCAUUUGCUUGUAUGAUCUGUCUGUAACAUAUCUCAGUCAUGGUUGAUAUUGUUAUUUACUACUGAUUAUCACAUUUUAUUGUAACCAGUUAUAAUCAUAUGGAAAAAUGAGACUCUAUUUAAAUACUUGGUCGUAGAUAUAUGGAUGUUGUGGUAGAGUGCAUUUGUUUUCACAAUUUUCGAUACAAUCAUAGGAAAAUAAAGCUUUUCUUGAAAAAAAGCAAUUUUAAGGUUGAUAUACAAUUAUUUAAAUUUCCAUACAAAACUAAAAUGUAUAGCUAUCUUCAAUAAUAAUGUCUAAAUGAAAAGGAAAGAAAGUGGGUCCAUGAUUUUUAUUUCUUUUGAUUAAUACAAUAAAUGAUUGAGAUAAGGGCUAUUCCAGAAAAAAAUGUAGAGUUGAAAGCAGUUUUUGUCAGCACCUGCAACCCAGACAAUUGUAAUUGAGAACUAUGGUGCAUUAUAGUGUGAAAAGUUGCUCUGAUACCCAUCACCCAUGUAUUAUUAAUACAAUGUGCCUUCCAACCCCACCAUACAUUUUAUUCUGGAAUAGCCCUAAUCAGAUUUCUUACAAGUCUUGUUAAUUUAAUCUGAAAAUGUCCAUUCUUCCAAUAGGUGCUGUAAAUGGUGAGAGUAUGGGGGUAAUCAGUGACAAACGGAUAAAGGAAUUAGAAGAUGAAAUGGCACAUAUGAAGUCAUCGUGGGUUGAAUUGUCAACACAUGAACAACUACAACAGAAACUAGAUGCUGUUUCAGAAGCUAGAGAUACUUUUGAGGUUGGUAUGCUCAACUAAUUUGAUCAGAUUUAAUGCAACUUUCUGUACAUUUCCAAGUAAUAGACAAAUUUUCAGAUACCAAAUUCAAAAUUCAACGUAUGAAAUAGAUGCAUACAGUAAUUAUACUGAUGACACAGAAAUAUGUACGUGCCAGCUGAUCGGGCAUUAACAAUUUUUAGAAUUAGAUGAGUAAAUUUAUUGCAAGGGUUUAUGUGCAAUUCUUUGAAAUUUAUACUGCACUGGAUUUUGUAACAUUUCAUUAUGAACUGUGAAUUCUAUUAUAUCGAAAAAAUAGUUCCAAUGAAAAAAAGAACACAAUCAAACUUUUUUACUAUCUUCUUUGCAGGCAAAGUUCAGUGAUGUUCAUAAACAGUUUUUAGAAAAAGACAGUCAGGUAGACCAACUUCAGCUGGAAGUUUCUCAACUUAAAUCUAGCAUUGAAGUUCAUCAAGAAAAUCAGACAGAGUUGGAAAAGAAAGUAAAAGAAGUAGAACAAGAGAUCAACCAUUUGAGGCAGUCAGAAGCCAAACUUAUUUCAUCUGAGGAAUCUGCUAUAGCUGCCAGGAAAGCUGCUGAAGAACAAAUCCUGACAUUACAGAAAGAUCAGUCACGAUUACAGACAGAGUUCAAGUUAACAGUGCAGGUGAGGCAACAUACAUGAAGCUGAGGAAUACUUUGUCUUUAGUUGAUGAAUUUCUGAGAGAAAUAAAUUAGACAAAACUUUUUGAACUAAAAAUUUUAACUUUUCAACCCCAAAAUUGUUUUUUGUUAGAAAAAAAAGAGGCUUUUCAACAUAGUCUUUGGGCACUUCUCUGUCUUUUCCUAAUAUUUUUCAACUUUUAUUUGUUGUAACUUUCUUUUAUUUUUUUAAGAAUGAGCUUGAGUCCAUAUUUUAUCAGAAAAUCACUUCAUUAUGUAGAAAUAUGCAAACAUGUGAAUUAAUACAAGCAUGACACACUCUCUACACUAUCUGUCAUUUUCAUGAGGUAUGCUGAAGGUAGAAAAUGACAUCAAUAAGAGAAAAAAAACAAGAGCAUCUACAGAAAGGGACUAAACAAAAUAUCUGUAAACAUAUAGGUUACCUUUCCAUAAUGAGUUAAAAUACAUCUUAUUACAUUUACUUUAUUGUUUUGUAGGAGUUAGAGGGCACUAAACAAGCAAGUGAGAACAGACGUCAAACCAUGGCAGCAUCAAUUGAUGUGGCUUUGUCUGAAAAGAAAACUCUAGAACAACGCCUUCUUAAAUCUAAUCAAAAACUUGAGGAACAAGUCACAGAGCUAAAAGCAAAACUUCAGAAGGAACAUGAAGAGUCGGCCAAGAGUGAGGAAGCACUGAAAUCUAAAGUACAAGCCUUGCAAUUGUCACUGAAACAGACAGAAAUUCUUUUAGAGAAUGACCAAUGGACAAAGGAUAACACAAUUACAGCAAUGAGAGAGGAGCUUAAGGAAAUUCAGGAGGAACUUACAGAAACAGAAAAUAAACUUCAAAUUGAAAUUGCACAAUUAACUGAAAAUAAAAAUAAACUAGAAGAUCAAAUUGCAGAACAGAAAGAUUCAUAUGUGCAGAAAAUUGAUAACAUUUCAUCGGAAAUACUUACUUUCAAAACAGCAGCUAGACAAAAAGAAAAUGACAUGUGUGAUAAGUUGCAGACGGUCAAGGAUGAAAAUAUCGCUUUGAAAAAUGAACUUGACAAUUUGAAGGCAGCCAGUGAGAAAACUAUAUCUACAAUGGAACAAAAAUAUUGUAAAUUUGAAAAUAAGGCAAAAGAUCAAGAAGAAAGCCUAAGGAAAGAACUUAAGGCUUUACAAGGUAAAUAUCAGUGGAGUCAGCAUGAUCAAGAAUCACUGUCUGAAGAAAUAUCCGAUUUAAAAGACUUGAUUAAAGAAAAGUGCUUGGAAAUUGAAAAUUUGCAAAGUGAAAUAUUGAAUCAUAAACAAUGUGAGAAUGAUUUGAAAGGUCAGGUGUCUCAGAUAACAAAUAGCAAAGAAAACUUACAAAAGCAGUUGGAAGAAAUGAAAGAAAAUCUUAGUGUUGAACAAGAAAAUCAUGCUGAAUUAGUGAAUAAGAUUUCACAGGAACAUGAAACUGAGAUUCAGAAAUUAAGAAAUUGUUUGUCUGCCAAAGAGGCGAGUAGUUUAGAUACACAGCAGAACAUGGAAACAUGCAUGAAUGAAAUACAAACUUCACUAGAAAAAGAAAUGGAGAGAGGAAAAGAGAAAGAGAGAUUAUGUCAAAUUCAGAUAGCUCAAACUAAAAAUCAGCUAGCAGAAUUACAAGGGAAAUAUGAUAAGCAAACAGCAAGUCAUAAUACUAUUCAAACCACAUUAAAUAAUGAACUAGAACAACAACGCGUUACAACUGCUGUGUUAGAGGAAAAGCUUAAUAAGGAAGUACAAAAAGGUCAAGCUGAAUUGAGUAAAAUCUCUGCUGAGUACAAUGAAUUGGACAUGAAAUAUAGAUCAGUGACUGAUCAUGAAAGAACACGUGACAGCAGAAUGAAGGAACUACACCAGCAAAUAUCAGAGUUAGAAAGUCGGAAACGGGACUUGGAAAAUAUAAGUGAGAAGAAGAACGAGAAGGUUGAUGACCUCACUGGUCAGAUUGUUCUGAUUAAGAAGGUUGCCGAAUCUAAACAGGCAGACAAUGAUAAACUCUGUUCGGAAAAUAAAAAUUUGAAUGUGAAAGUAGAAGAUUUGAAUGAAAAGUUACUGAAGGAAUGUAAAGAAAACGAUGAGAUGAGACACAAACAUAAAGAGAUUAAUUGUCAUGUAAAUCAGUUAGAGAACCAAUUAUGUGAAGUCAAUAAUAGACUUGUAGACACUGAAAAAGUGCUGGAAGAAAAAUCUUCAUCUCUAAGUCAGGAGGUUGAAGCUGUAUCUGAACGUGAUGCAGAGAUUUCUGAUUUGAAAAUUUCAUUAGGAAAUACAGAGGAAGAAGUUGUAUCUGCAAAAGAACAGGUUUCUGAACUAACUGAGGUGAACUCUGAAUUAAACAAAAGUCUUGAAAAUGUGAACAAUGAACUGAAAAAUUUGCAACUUGUUUUCAAUAAUAAAGAAAUUGAAUUGAAUGAGAAGAUUCAGACAUUAUUAGAAUCUCAUAAAAAUGAAAUUUUGGAAUUGAAGGAAUCAAGUGAGUCAGAAAUUAAAGUGCUGAACUCUGAAAUUGAAAAAAUGAAAUCUGAUUUACUUUCAUGUGAUACUGAAAUUCUAAGACUUGAACAAGAAAACAGAGAUCUGAAGUCAUCGUUAGAACUAUUGAAGGAAGAGCAUUUGCAGGAAUUAGAACAGAUUCAUAGCGAGAAAGAAACAGUUUUAAAUGAAUAUGAAACAAGAUUGAAAGGAACAAAUGAAAAAUUACAUAAAGAAAAGAAUGAACUUAUUGAAAGUCAUAAAAUGGAACUUCAGUCACUAAAUUCAGAAUUUUCAGAAUCAAAACAGAAGUUUGAAAAUACCAUUGUGCAACUGAAAGAGCAAUCCAAAAAUGAUUUAGAAUCAUUAAAAUGUGAAUUUAAACUUCAAGUUGAAAGAAUGACCACUGAACUUAAACAAGAACAUGAAAAAAUGAGCAGUCUGAAAAAGGAAUGUAAGGUCAAGGUCUCUGAAACGGAAAAAUACUGGCAGUCACAACUAGAGCAGCUGCAAGAGGAGUAUGCUCAAGCUAGUGAUGAACAGAAACAGGAAUAUGAUAGCCAAGUUCAGGAACAGGAAGUUAGGUACCAGUCACAGUAUGAGGCACUGGUACAAGAGAGGGAAAUGAUCUUGUCCAAUCAGAAGAUGGCAUUCCAGGAAAGAGUGAAUUACCUUGAAAAUAGGCUUACUCAAAGACAAACUGAGAUUCAGACUUUGACGAAGGAAAUGGAUGAGGACAAAGGAAAGACAGAAACAGAUUACAAACAGAAGCUGGCUAAUAUAGAAUCUAUAUUGAAGAAAGAAAUGUCAAAUCAGAAAGACUUGAUGAAUGAAUUAAGACAAAAUAAGGAAAGGGUCAAUGAGCUUCAGUCUGCUUUGCGGGAAAAAAGAACAAGCUAUGAAACUUCCCUGAAAGCCAGUAAAAAUGCCUGGGACUCCGACCUGGAUAAUCUUAGGGAAGAGUACAAUGGUAAAAUGUCAGAACUUGAAAGGGAAAAGAACAGACAAAUAGAGGAUGAGAAGCAAAGAAGAAUAAACAUGGAAGAAUCUUGUCAUCAUCUGGAGGAUAGAGUGGAAACAUCGUUACUUGAAAACAAUAGCUUGAAACAACAGGUAAUAUUAUUAACUCGAUCUGUUUAUCGUGUUCAUAAUGAAAGACAUUUUCUAUAGUCUUAUUUUUGUUGAGCACUUUUUUAAUCCAUUUUGUCUUACAAAUUAGAUGCAAAAAGUGAAAGUUCAUGCAAAUAAGAACAUAAUUGAAUCUACACAAAAAAUAUGACCACUUGACAACUGUGUUUAAUGAAUCAAACAAACAUGAAAUAUUUUAAUAAUCAUUGAUAAUGGUUAAUGUAUUUAAAGAUAUUUUAGGAGCAAUGAACAGUUUAAUUGUGUGACACAAAAGUAUUAUUCUUUAUCUUGCAGUUUCAUUAUAUACUAAGAGUAACUCAUGACUAAUCCACUGCACUUUAAAUGUUUUUUAUUUGCUGGUUUUUUUAAUGCAUAUAUGAGCUCUAUUUUAUUAUUGAAAAAAUAUAUAUAUAUAUAUUCCAGUUGGCUGCAGUUGAAGAAGAGAAAAAUCAGCUUAUCCUUGACUAUGAAAAGACGUUAGAUUUAAAAAACAAUGACUUUUCCAAUCAAGAACAGUUAAAAAAGAAAAUAGAAAUGUUUAAAUCACAGGUAAAAAUCUAAUCCCAAAAAUAUGUUUAUUGGUAGAUUGUCAAAUUAUUAUACAAUAUAGUAUAGUAGUAUCAAUAACCAAAGUAGUUAUCAUGAUGAACAUGUAUUUUUCAUUGAAGAGCACCAAAAUAUUAAAUUGUAAAACAAAAAUGCUAUAUAGACGAAAAAUGUUAUUUUAGCAAGCCUCAAAAUUUUAUCACUAUUCUUGGAACUACUACUUCUCUAAUGUUUUAUCUUGGAUGCAGUGAACAAUAUUUCGAGCAUAUUCAGGACGAUCUAUUUGACAACAUCUUUGUUUAUAAUGUUAUAAUAUCAAAUUCAUGCGUAGCAGUCAAAAUGAUGCAAGUUGCACUGAUUAUAAUAUUGUGUAUUCAAAUAUUUUGUUUUAGGUCCAGAAGUUAGAAGUGGAGAAAAAUUUCCAUCGAGAUCAAUUAGACAAAAAGGUUAAAGAACUGAAAGAGGAACUUGAGUAUAAGGAGGAACAGUGGUCUGAGGAAAUGGAGAGUGUAAAGAAACAAUACACAGAAGCUAACCAACAGAAAAUACAUGUAUGCCAAAUAUCACUUGUUCAUUUUGUACUUAAGGUGGUACCUAACACUUUCACUAAAAUUAAUUUGGCUUGUUAAUUUUUUUUAAUUUUGAACCAACCGUUUUGUCAGAAAAAUUACACUGGUUAUAUAGCAGUUUGACAACCACCAAUUUUGAUCAUUGAGAAGCUUAAUAUUCUUUUUACAGCAAAACGUAAUUAAAACGUUUAGCUGACUUUAUAGAGUUAUCUCCCUGAAGUGUUAGGUAACACCUUAAGAUUAAUUGUCUCAUUUUAUUGGUUAAGAUAUUGCAAAGGCAAAAGGGCAGUUUACAUUUUUUGUUGUCUUGAUUUAUGUUAUAAUCGUGAUGAUUAAAUUCACAUUGUUUUUCUACUAGCAAAAAUAUGUAAAAAGUUAGGGGGUUUUCAAUUUGUGACCAUUUCUCAUUGUGAACAUUGUAUUUAUAAGGCUAGAAUGCAUUAUUGCUAAUUUUGAAUUAAACUCAUAACAACAAUUCUGAAAAGAUUUUUUAAAGUUACAAUUAAUUUCUUAUCCUUUCAGUCUGUGUUAUCACAGGGAAAAUGUCUAUUUCUGUAUUUUGAUAUUUAUUUUUUGUUAUUUACACUCUAGCUUCAACAACAGAUGAAGAACAUUGGGGAGAACACUGACAAGAAAGACAAAACAAUUGCACAGUACCAAAAAUACUAUGCCCAGAAGAAAGAAACCAAUCUUCUUCUACAACAGGAGGUUAACAUCAACAAAAAACUGGCCGACAACUUCAAAGAAAAAACGGAGAAACUGGAGGCAGAAAUAAAUAAGUUGAAAAACAACUACAAGGCAAAAUCUGAAAAGAUGGAAAAAGAAUUAGAACAACUGAAAGUACUUAUAGAGGAGCAGAAAAAUAAGUUCUCUAAGACGGAGACUGAGGUAGCACCAGUGAAAUCUCAACUCCAGGAAGAACUGAACAAAAAUAAAUCACUUCGUAAGAAGCAAAAUUUUAGAUUGUUAAGGAUGUUCGCUACUUUUGUUUUUGAUGUUGUGUCUUAUAUUGGGAAUCCUUUAUACAUCUAGUGCCAUUAAAAAUAAUACCAGCCAUUCCCUACUUUUGUUUUUAUAAUUUUACCAAAUAUAGUUUAAAAAAAAAAACCAUUUUGAAAUCUAAUAAAUCCUUGNNNNNNNNNNNNNNNNNNNNNNNNNNNNNNNNNNNNNNNNNNNNNNNNNNNNNNNNNNNNNNNNNNNNNNNNNNNNNNNNNNNNNNNNNNNNNNNNNNNNNNNNNNNNNNNNNNNNNNNNNNNNNNNNNNNNNNNNNNNNNNNNNNNNNNNNNNNNNNNNNNNNNNNNNNNNNNNNNNNNNNNNNNNNNNNNNNNNNNNNNNNNNNNNNNNNNNNNNNNNNNNNNNNNNNNNNNNNNNNNNNNNNNNNNNNNNNNNNNNNNNNNNNNNNNNNNNNNNNNNNNNNNNNNNNNNNNNNNNNNNNNNNNNNNNNNNNNNNNNNNNNNNNNNNNNNNNNNNNNNNNNNNNNNNNNNNNNNNNNNNNNNNNNNNNNNNNNNNNNNNNNNNNNNNNNNNNNNNNNNNNNNNNNNNNNNNNNNNNNNNNNNNNNNNNNNNNNNNNNNNNNNNNNNNNNNNNNNNNNNNNNNNNNNNNNNNNNNNNNNNNNNNNNNNNNNNNNNNNNNNNNNNNNNNNNNNNNNNNNNNNNNNNNNNNNNNNNNNNNNNNNNNNNNNNNNNNNNNNNNNNNNNNNNNNNNNNNNNNNNNNNNNNNNNNNNNNNNNNNNNNNNNNNNNNNNNNNNNNNNNNNNNNNNNNNNNNNNNNNNNNNNNNNNNNNNNNNNNNNNNNNNNNNNNNNNNNNNNNNNNNNNNNNNNNNNNNNNNNNNNNNNNNNNNNNNNNNNNNNNNNNNNNNNNNNNNNNNNNNNNNNNNNNNNNNNNNNNNNNNNNNNNNNNNNNNNNNNNNNNNNNNNNNNNNNNNNNNNNNNNNNNNNNNNNNNNNNNNNNNNNNNNNNNNNNNNNNNNNNNNNNNNNNNNNNNNNNNNNNNNNNNNNNNNNNNNNNNNNNNNNNNNNNNNNNNNNNNNNNNNNNNNNNNNNNNNNNNNNNNNNNNNNNNNNNNNNNNNNNNNNNNNNNNNNNNNNNNNNNNNNNNNNNNNNNNNNNNNNNNNNNNNNNNNNNNNNNNNNNNAUAUAAGUGUUGAAGUUUUGAUCGGCGAUAUACUUUUCUUUAAUAUAUGUUGUGAUCUUCUGUGACGUAUAUUUGACGACAGGAACUACUCACAGGGUUUAGUUCGCUUCGAGGGCUGGGAUAACUUUUAUCUCCGUGGCUUUUUGUAGAGAGUCAAUUUUAGUCCUCUUUUCCUUUUACCUUUGAAUAAUGCAUUUUCUGAAUUUGAGCAACAAUUUUAAAUAGUUUGAUUUUAUUGAAUCAGUGAUCAGUUUACAUCUGUUUAAAGUAUAAGGACAAAAUCUGUGAUGAUUUUUAAUCAGCAUUGAUCACAUUUAUUGAGUCAACAAAAGUCACAAAGCCAAAGAUUAAAAAAUUUGUCUGUUUCCCCUCACGCAUUCACGAUGUCCUCAAUCAGAACCGAUCCCCUCACGCAUGACUUAAUGAAAAAUGUAGUUUUUGGAAUUAUUAAGACGUUCUAUCAACACCGGACAGCGUACACGGCCGCCAAAAACAACAUUCAUACCCAUUGCCCUAAAAAAAACUAAAUUUGAACUUGUAGGUCUGUUUUUUAAAUAGAACCAUUUUAAAAUUAAAAUGUCACUUUUUUAGGCGAUUUCUCGUGGGGCAACUGAGUUUGUAAAAGUUCAACUCUACGUACAACAGUAAAUGAUACAUGUAUUUCUUCGUUAAAGUAUUCACCACAGCAUAGCAUUCUCUGAUUUUCAAUAUUUUGAUCAGUUGAAUAAGAAAAUUGAGAUUUAGAAAUGUACAUACCUUUUGAAGCGGUGACAAUUACUCCACUCAAGCACAACCGGAAAAUCCUCUCACGGUUUUCAUUGCAGAACCAAAUGUUCUGCGUGUGUAGAUUACCAGCCGUGUCAUAUUGAUCCGAAGUAUUAGUAAUUGUUUUAAUAUGUUUAACCACUAGCUAAAACGAAUACAUUAUAUUUUGAGGGGCAAAGUGGUCUUUUUCAAGAAUUCGGGAUUGGGCCUUUGUUUUCGCGGGAAUUUAGGGAUUUCACCAAUCGGGACUCUGGAAAUAGUGAUUUAUUUUUCAGAAUACGGGAAAGAAUAUUUCAUUUUUACGGGAAUCCCCUUACCACUCCUUUAUUAUAUUCCAUGUCGAAAACAUUAGAAAUUGUUGUAAAUCUGAAGCAAUAAGGACUGGUGUCGACUGUCAUUAGAUUGAAACUGUACGACCGAUUUAGAUUAUAAUACAGUCUGCAUGAACAGGUGAUACGGUGAUGUAAAUGCGUAUUUAACAGGUAAACGUAUACCGAGGAAAACUGGGGGGAAAAGGAGGAAAAAAAAACACCAAAUAAAAUAAAUAUAAUUGUAACUUUAAUACAAGACCACAUUUAGAAUAUAGUAGAUACGAAGUAAGGGAUGUUGAUUUGAAAAUGAAUCUAAUAACAGUAGGGAAAAAGAAACUGCAAGGAUAUAGUAACAGGGCUUAACCUUUGGAAGCGUAUGAGCCUUAUGUUUUGGAACAAGCAGGAGAAACCUUAUAAAUUUGUAAUUUGACACCAAAUUGCCUGCACUGUAUCCGACGCGCUAGACCACUCGACCACCUUUGCUUCACAAUCCGAAAGCUUUGUUAUUGUGAAGCCAAGGUAGUCGAAUGGUCUAGGGCGUCUGAUAAUCAUACUAUUGUUUUGUUUUGUUGUGGUUUUUUUCAUAUUUUUAUUCUGUUUGCACAAAUGAACAAAACUUAUUUCUACUCUUUUUAAUUUCUAUGUAUGUUUUUAUUAAUGUGUACUUUUAAUGUAGUUAAGGGACUUAAUUAAAGAUGCAUUAACUUGUGCACAAUCCUUUUUCUUAAGUACAAGUUUAAAUUAUUUAAUAAAAUUGAUUUUAACCAUUACAAAAAUUACCUCGCUUGCCUAAUCCCGAUUGCAGUUCAUGUGAUGAAUCUUUAUUGUGUUGAUUUUUGCACGUUAUGUUUGGUUAAUUUGAGAAUGGUCCUUUCAAUUAUAUGUCUUUAUUUCUCAACAACUCAACAAACCAAAUUACAUUGGUAUAGAGAUACACACAAUAAUUUACAUUCAUUAAUAUUAUACAUAAGACACAUGGUUAUAAUCUAAGGAGAGUCUAUUUUAACAAAUCAAUGCUGUAUGCUUUCUAUUUCAUGCAUGUUGUUCUUCGUGGUUGAGUUUUAACCUUGUUCGGUUCUAAAUUAAGAUAUCACACCGAGUUUUAAGCUUGGUAAAAAUUGCAUGAGCUAAAUCAAUGCCAGAUGCUUUAUUUCAGUAUAUAAACCACCAAAUUAGCAAAUAAAGAAAAAUUACCAUAUUACUAGUGAAUAAGUUUCUUUGUGUUUUUCAGUUGUCUUUUUAUUAUUAUUUUAAUUAUCUUAAAGGACAUUUUUAUAGCAUUACAAAGAAUACACAUUGUAAGAUUGUCAAGGGUGUAUAAAAUGAGCCGAUUCUGUUAAUUAGAAUGCCCACUGCAAUUAAGUUUUUAAGUAUGAUUAUAAUUUUACUCAAUGUCAAAAAUUGAUCUGAUCUCUCUACGUGCGAACGGAUAUUGUUUUAUUGUAAAAGCGUUAAAAUGCAUUUUAGUCUGUUGUGGCCUCAAGGAAGUUGUGACACGAAAAAAUUGUAAUUGGUGAUUUUACUAAGCAUUGCUGUUGGUGUCACUGUGGCAUACUAAGAGCAAACUGAAUGUUAAUCGGCUGUUUCAGAUGAAAUGACAGUGCCGUUAAAAAAAGGUACAUUAAGAAAUGUGAAGGUUUUCACUGGGAAUAAUAUUCAUAUCAGCUAUAAUUAUUAUAUAUAUGCGUUUGAUGUCUGUAUGGUAUUUUUAUUGAAUAUAUGGUAUAUUUUAACCUUAUAAACUCCCUAACUAGUAAGUAUUUGUUCAUAUAUUGACCACGUGUUAAUUUGUUUAUUGAAUAAGUACAAUAGUCUAGAACUGUCAUGAUUGCAUAAAAGAAAGCCUUUAUAUACUUUGUUUACCGUUCAAGCAAUACAACAAGUAGAAAAUAUGCAACGUUGACUUAAACCUACAACAUAUUUAUUUAUUUAUUAGUUAAUGGCUAAUGUUUUGAGCCAACUGAGGUUGCGAAUGAGUCCAGUUAGUUAUUUUAUUUGAUUUCUAUUACGUUACUUAUCAGUUAUAUGUUUGGUAAAAUUAUCCCUGGUCUGACAACAAAGAAAAAGUGCGCAUCGUUAUAGAAAGUGGUUAUAGAUCUGCUGUCCGCUAAUAAAAUGUGUUGAAGAUGCCCAACCUCACCGUAUUUUUCAUUAUAUGUGAGUUUGGGCUUUCAUUUGUCGACCUGCAUUUCGAAAUUAUUUGAUGAAAUAGAAAAAAUGCAAUCUUUUGAAAAAUGAGUUAUUGGUGUCAUUAGGUCCAAAGACACAGUUAUCGUUCUCUACGAAUAUAGUUCCUAGUGUGAACAGUGUAUAACUUGGAUUUUUAAUUUGAUACACUUUCACAAUUUAUUCUAGAUAUUUAAUGCAUGGAAUAUUAAGUAGGGGAUGAAAUAACAUGUCACAAGUUAAAAAAAAUUGGGUGCUGAAUCUUUAUGUUAAGUAGGGAUUUGGUCCGGUUCUAAAAUGUCAAAUUGUAAGCUGUCAAACAGAAUUUUAGACCCCCUGGCCUUAACACAGUUCUCGGGCCAUUAGGCUACAUGUUAAGUUCGUUUCUUCGAAAACAUUACUGAUAUUACUAAACCCCCUUUUUUAACAUGGCAUUGGUAUGGACUUUCAUUUCUAAACCUACAUUUUGAAAUUGUAUGUUAAUUGGACAAAAAUUAAUCCUUUGAAAAGAGUUAUUGAUGUUAUUAUUGGGACAGUUUUACGUUAAUAAAUAUAAAUUGAAAUUUAAGUUCGUUUCUUCGAAGUAAAUUAGAAAAUUCCAUAACGAGGCUGGCCGCUGAAAUUCAAAAUAAAGUUCCCCAGCUGAAGAUGCGAAUGGCGUAACUUACAAACAAAUGCCUAUGGUUAGUUUCCAUAAUAUGUAGUGUCUGCCGUUUGUUUUUAGCUUGAUGUCAACACGAUUAUUUUGAUAUUUCAAACAAUCCCAAUCAAAAUUCAAACGCACAAUUUAUUUGGUAUCGACACGACUGAAAGGUCGGGCGUCAUCACGUCGAAAUAAUUUGUUGUUAUUAUUAUAAUAUGUAAGAGGUCAACUCAUGGUUAAAAUUUCAAAUGAAUAUGGUUAAAAACUUACUUGGACGCUUCAAUUUCGUCAUCUUGUCAGCAACUAACUUUCAAAUUAAAAAAAAAACAAAUUCGUAUCCCCCCUUUUUUAUGUAAAUAUUAAAGCUGCAUAUUUGUGACUAUACAGAAUAGUUCAUUAGUUGGAUCAAGUUAGGCGACAUUUGAUAUAUGACGUUAAAAGCAAGACAUAUUAAAUAAAAAAUAAUAAUGUAUAAUCUUCAGUGUUUUUACUGAUGAAAGGGAAACGGUGAGUAAUGAACAGGUGCUUGCAUGAAUUAAAAAUAUGGAUAUACAAAAUGUACAUGUACCAAACCAGUGGAACAUAUCAACUUCACUUGGAGUGCAUGUAGUCGCUUUUUGGGUUUACAUGACAAACUAAAAAUUAUCAACACACAAUAAUAAUUAAAAUUAUUUAUAAUUUCCCAAUGUCUUGGAAAAUUUACCACAUUCUAUCCAGUCAAUGUUGACAGUUUUGUCAAAACAUACACAAUUUUACCAGUCAUUUGCCAAUGUCCAAUAGAACUUCACAAUGACAGAUAAAUGAUUUAUUGGAUAGGGUUAUUGAUUAGUGAUUAAUGUCAAUGUGACGGGUCACAAAAUUAAAAAAAAAAAUAAGGUAUAAUAAAGGUAUCAUCAUGUACUUAGGGUUUCCAAUAAACUGAUCUGUAUGUUUUAAGAAUGAUUCUUAAAAAAAAAUCACCAAUAUAUUAGUUGUGCUUCUUCCAAGUAAGGAACCAAAUUCACAUUGAAAGUGUAUGGUCCCAUGUGUGUAUGUUAUAGCUGCGCAAUUAUUUCUUUAACCUGACUACUGACAUUUUUAGAAUGAAUUUUGUUUUCUUGGGCUUUGAAGUAUUUAAUAUUUACAUCAAAGAAAUUAUCUCCAAAGAGUUAUCUUUAAAUUAAUAAAUAAAAAUGUUGUAAUAUUUGCAGAUUUUAAAUUUCAUUCAUGUAUGACAAAGAUAAACAAUGGACAGUAAUAAAAGAAAAGCACUGAUUGAAUGGGUAUGUAUAAUUUUGAUUUACCUUUAAAUGAACAUUUUAUUUUCUCAUUGACGUUGUCUCAUCACUGGUAUCAAAACAAUGUAAAUUACUCUGAUGCUCAAUUGUUCAUCACUCCCUACGUAUAUUUAUUUUCCGUUGGCAUUUCAAAGAUUUUUUAGAGUUUGAUUUCAGACUUUUAUUCUAAAAGCUACAUUACCUUGUGACCAUUUCUGUCUUAGACGUCAACCAGGAUCAUGUAUUUAAUAUUGCAGUAAAUAUUGACUCUCAGUGUACAAACAUAUGUCUUCCAUCAACAUUUAUACUAAUUUGUUCAGACUUUAUUUCCAGCGUAAAAAUUGAGUCAAGCUGCUUAUAUUAAGAUCCUUACAUUUCUACUACAUUUAUAUAAUACUAUUUUGUUUGUUUUACUUUCAGGUUAAUUCUUUAGUUCCAAGUAAUUCUAUCAGAUCAGUUUUAGAUUUACAAGAUGGAAAAGCUUUUAUAAAACUUUUACAGCUAUCGUAAGUACAAUGAGGGAUAGUAUAAAGAAUUUAAAGUUUAUCAAGGAAAGGCAAUAAUUUUAACUUUAUAAACUACAAUUUAUAUGUGAAAAUCAGAAAAAAUGUCAAAACGUCAUACAAUAAAAGACUCCACUUAAGAAAUAAUAACUGCUUUAAUUUAUAAGAUAUAUAAGAAUGUGUAAGCCAUGUCUCAAAAUUUUUAACAUGUGAAUCAAAGGUUGAAGUAUAUAGAAAUUUUGGGGCUACGAUACAUCAUGUCAGUUGCACACAUAUUAAUUAUGCUAUUUUGUUGUAGCGAUGAAUGUUUAGUUCCUGAGGCACCACAGACUUCUCAACAAAGAUUAGAUUUGGUAAAACAGUAUUUAGAAGGUACUUACUAGUAUUAUGUCUGCAUGUACAAGGUCAUAUAGACAAAGCAUUUUGAUAUUCACUAUCUUCUCCAAUUCAAAAAAGAUGCACAUAAUGCAAUAUUUCCCUGAUGUCCUUGACAUAACUGUUAACAAGGGUAAUUAUGAAAUUACUAUUAAUCCUUGCAAGAGCAAUUUUCAAGUUAUUCUGCACAUUUUUGUGUAAACUUAGGAACUGAAAAAUCCAUUUUCAGAUAAUGACUGGACAGUCUAUACUACUAUUACAGACUAUUUGUAGAUAACUUGGUUAAAAUACAUAUCAUUUUGAUGUAAAGAUAAACAACUGGGACUAAUUCAUUGAGUGCCAUGAAACAAUGAAUUUCAUAAACAUGAUAAAAAAAAGUUUUUAAAUUGAUUUUUUUUUGCUACUUUUGCUACUUUAUCUUUACUUAAAGAAUAUAAAAAAUAGUUAAUUUUGUGUACUAGAUAUUUAGUUUUGUAUAUAUAUACAGGUUGCACUAUAAUGAACCAUUCAUUCAUUUGACUUACUGUUGGGUAACUGAAACCACAUAUUUAUUUUUAUUUGGCGCAAAAGGAAAAAAAUAAUUCUGUAACUAUAAAUGAAUAAAGAAAACAUAAACUGAAACAACUGUUUUUGUGGUUAUAGUUUAAUUGUAUUCUCAGUUAUGAAUUGAACAAUAUAAACUAAAACAUAUAAAGGAAAUAGAGCAUCAACGCGACGCGACAAAUGACAUUAAAAAAAAAUACAGUUAUUUUUUUUUUACGCAAAAUGUGAUGCUAUCCAAAAUUUCUGGGGAGAACACUGAUUCUGUAAGAUGAAGAAACAAAGCUAAAUCAUAAAAUUCAGGUUAAGCUAAUGAAUGAAUUCAAUCAUUAUCUUCAACAAAUAAUAAAAUAUACGAUAAAACUUCAUUGCAAUAUUCUGUAUUGUAGGAUUUUAUUCAGUGUCACUACUGCCUGGAAGUUCUCUCCUAGACUUCAAGCUUAUUGUUCAGGACAGUAUUAGCAGAAAAGACAAAGAAUGGGAACUUGGAAAGGUUUGUUGUAAAGCAAAAACAUGGUAGCCGAAUAGAGAUAGGCGACAAUAAGAAUAAAGUUUUAAGAAUUUGCAGACUGACCCUAUUAAUUUGUGCCUCAAAAUACUACGCUUGUGUUGUUUUUUUUACCCCUUUGUUAGUCAAGUGUGAAUAAUUGUAGUUCUUACCUUCCUUAGAAGUUAAAAAUUGAGCAAAAUAAAAGAAACCCUAGUUUUCUUGGGGCUAUUUCAGGAAAUACUAUGUUUUUUGGGGGGGACAUAGACUUUUCUCAAGCCACCCUUUAAGUGGAAAGCCUUUUUCAUCCUUACAUUAUGACAGCAUAUACAUUGUCGGUGAGAUAAAAUAAAGUAUUAUUAAAAUUCUGUUUUAGAUAUUAUUAGCAUUGUUAGAAGCAUGUGUACUAGAGAAAAAGAACAAUACAUUUGUUACAACGGCAACAAGUCUUCCAGAAUUAGUCCAGAUGGAGAUUAUGCAGAUGUUACAGCCGAUGAUCAUCAAUGCUCAAGAUGUGGGUAGUCACUUGACCGAAGACUUUGCUGAUAUCUUGACUAAAACUACAGGUUUGUUUGGAUUGAAUGUGUUCUUUUUUUAUGUUUAUUUUGCUUGCUAGAUGUACAAUGAAUGUAUAUGUUUUUGUUCCUUCUUUAUUCCUUGUAGAUUACCUUUAACUUGUAGUUUUGUCAUAUUUAUAACAGUUAGGUAAAAAUUGAAAUGGUCCUUUAAGAAUAAAAUAGAUAAGAAUUGUCAUCAUGGUCAUACAUAUGGUUAUAUACAUUGGGUAUUAUUUGUUUGUGAUGCAUAAUAUAUUUUAACAACUAAAAGAACACACACAAAAUUUAAGCAGCUUUGAUUUAAAUGCCAUGUGUUUUCUCUAAACCAAUCACCCCUGAAACAUAACGUCAGAAAGUUGGUGGUUCAAUGGUGUUAUCUGGGCUUUAAUUGAAAGUUUUCUAAGCAGAAACUGACAAGCAGAUAUUUGUUUGUGUCAGACAACAGUCUAUAUAUCAAAGUAAGAAGAUGGGGUAUGAUAUCCAAUAAUACAGCUAACUACCAUAGAAAAAUGAUUGUAUACAUGUAUAUAUAAACAAGCUAAAAAAAAACUGUAAAAUAUAAGGGUUAAAAAUACAAGCAACACGUUGUAAUUGAUAUGAAAAUAAGGCGAUUAUUUAUUUUUUAGCCUUUUGCACUUGUAAUUAGGCUAUAUCUUACAUCAUGUCUUAUGAAAUAAUGAUUUAAAGAACACAAUCAAAGAUAGUCAGGACUAUUGAAAAUUGAUGUAAAAUCAGAAUUACUAAAAGAGAUAAACUCAAUGUUGUCGAUUUCAAUCUUUGGAUCAUAUACUUAGUUGUAGCCUUACCUAAAAUGGAAACCAUGGGUACAGACUUUCUGUUUCAAAAUGUUUAAAAACUCAUGCUAAAUCAAGAACAAUAUGCUGUUUACAAUUUCACAUUUGUAAAUCCCAUUUUUGGAUAAAAAUAUUCAGGCUUAGUCAUUUGUUUAAAGACCUUCAAUAUGAAAAAAACAGACAAAACAUACACAUCGAAUAAGUAUUAAUUAAUAACCUUGCACCCUCUCGGUACCUUGUUUUUCUGUUCUUAGACACCAAUGCUCACCAAGAUGCUGCUCUUUUCUUCCAACUAGUUACCCAAGGCAACAUGAGUCGAGUGACGUCAACACCAAAUGUGGACCAUUCUUUCAACUUUAGUAGAUUUUCAAAUCAUGGUACUGGUUUGUUCUUUUACCUUCUUCACUAUUGCUUUUCUUUUGUAUUUUUCACAGCAUGCUGGUAAAUAUUGUGAAGAAUGAUUACCUGCAAGCUAUUGAUGUUAUAUUAAUAUUUAUUUCCAAGUUUUGUUUUUUUGCUAACAUAGUUGCUUACUAAUAUUUUCUAGUUUUAAGAUGAGAUACAUGCUUUAAAAAGAAAUGCUAUGAGUUAAACACAAUUGGCAAUGAUUGAUACAAUUUUAAAAGUUAUAAAUUUUAUGUAUUUUUUAGAUCAUGUAGAUAAAGGGGACUUUUUUUACUAUUUGAGUUUUCUUUGGAUACCAACUGAAUUUUAAUAAUGCUUCAAGUAAUUUUGUAUUAUUUUUUUUACACUUAGAUUCUGCAGUGAUUCAAGAAUGUUCAGGGACCUUUCAUUUUGUAAAAUCAACAUAGUAUCUAAGUUCUACUCUGAGGCAUCCCUUGUAAUAAUUCAAUCAGUUUGACUGAUGAAGAUUAAAAGUAUAUAUUAUGUUGGGGAACAUAAUACACAUAUUUGUCAGUGCUAGUAUUUAAUGGAUUUGGGAUGUUUGGAAGGUCCUUCCAAAAUCCCUCACAUCCCAACAUACUUUCCUCGAGUAAUUUGCAUAUAAUUCUUUGAGUGUUUGUGCAUAUAAAAUUUUAUUUUGAUAAUUGUGAAUUUAAAAUUUUAUUUAAGUAAUUGUGAAUAUAAAAUUUUCCUUAAUUGUGCAUACUAAUUUUUCUUUGAGUUAUUGUGCAUAUGAAAUUUUCUUUGAGUAAUUGUGCAUAUUAAUCUUCCUUUGAGUAAUUAUGCAUAUUAAUUUUUCUUUGAGUAAUUAUGAAUAGAAAUUUAUAUCUUUGAAUUAUUGUACAUACAAAUUUUUGAGUAAUUGUACACAUUUAUAUAAAUCUUUGAGUAAUUUUACAAUUGUGGACAUAAGUCUAAAAUAAAAUUUCCUCCACUACCAACUCGCAUUCAUUUAAAUGGGAAUUCUCUCAUGAGCUAGCAUCUCAGAUUGUGAGACUUUAAUAAAAAAAACUUUGACAAUAUUAUAGAAGAAAAAAGAAAAAAUGUCUUUCAUGUAAAAUAACAACUUCAGACAUACAUGUGUUUCUGACAUUGUUAUGAACCUGUAAUGUCAUUUGAAUAUUACUGUUAUGAACCUGAAAUGUCACUUGAAAAUUUUUCAGUGGCUAGUCCUGUAUCUCAUCAACAGUUUAACACCAGUUUGUCAUCAGAAAUAGCCUCUCCUCUCAGAAUGAUGACCAUAGCUAAUUCACCAUGUACACCACUGAGUGCAUUGAUGCAGUCGCCACAACUGGCACAGAAGGUAAUGUACAAAUCUAUUGGCUAAUUUUCAAACAACUGACUUUUAUUUAUAAGUUACAUUAAAUGGAAAUUGAGAUUAUGAAAAGAGUUAUUUGCAAUUAUUUCACUUUGAUAGAAGGAAGAUACAGAAUUUAAUGAAAUAGGCUUGUGAACUUUACAUUUCAGAUCAGGCACCAUUUAGGUCAAUUGAGGGUGAUUAUAUAUGAUGCACUACGAAACUAAAUAUUUUCAUUUGCAGGCUAUAGAUGUUAGGCAGGACAAACUUGUGUCAUAUGCAAUAAUUGAGUUAUAUAUGUGUAUAUGCAUUUCCAUUUCAGGCACUUAUUCGACAGAGAGAGAGGGAAAUUAAAAAGCUUGAGUUGUCCCUACAGAAUGAAAGACAUCUUAGGACAGAACUAGAAUUUGACCUUCAUGAAAAGGUUGAAAAGUUAAAUGAUAAAGGUACUGAUUUUUUUUUAUUAUUUUUUGUUUAUUAUAAUGUAUCUCAUGAAUUGUAGCCUAGAAAGUAUGAUCCUAGUGACAACAUCUUCAUACAUGUUUUUACAUAUUUUCAUACAGUUUCUCUGGAUUUUUUGUUUUUAUUCUUUGGGUAUUUUGAUAUAUAUUUAAAAACACUUUAUGAUAUGAUUUGAAUAAUUUGUUUAUAAUGUAGAAUAGGUGGCUAAGUGGUGGUAAAACCCAUGCAACAUGAUUAAUGAUGUUUUGUGUUUUCUAUAGAUAAUAAAAUAAAAGAAUUUGAGAAAGUAGUGAAGCAACAGAGAAAAGUUCAAGACAUGGUAGAUGAAAUAGAUACACUAAGACAAGAAAAAGAGAAGAACGAAAAGGAUCUCACAAGGUAUUAUUAACGCUCUUGCAACAAUAAAAAUAAAACCAGAAGUUACCAUAAGUCAAAAAACCAUAAGUCAAAAAGAAAAACAUUAAUAAGACAUUCCCCAUUACAAAAAAAAUACUUAAAAAAUUGAAGUUUGAGUAACAUAAACCCAACCAGAAAGGGGAAAUAAUCGCGUGCAGUUCUGCUCCACUUAUUGUACACAUAUCAUGUUGAUCAUAGCAAGGAAUAAAAUAAAUGAUAAGUUAAUGGAACAAUUUUAUUCAAAUAAACAGCUGUUUUCAUUAUUUUUCAACUGAACUGAAUAUUAUGAGAUAUAUACUUCUGACUUUUAGAUUUGAACAUUUAUCAAAUUUCUUUACUUUUUUUUUGCAGGGUUCAACAGAAAAUGAAUGAAUUGCAGAACAUCAAAGAUCAUUAUGAGAUUGUAGAACAAGAAAACAAACAGCUUACAGAAGAGUUUUCAAAAAUGAGAACAGAGGUAUGGUUUGCACUGAUAGAUUUGAUCUGUAUGUAUGUUUGAAGUCUGACCAUAUAAAAUUUCAUAUAGCUAGCAUAGUUUUCUCACAUUGUUCACACAACUGGUAAAUUUUUAGUACUUAGCAGCUCUAUAGUAUGUAGACACUGCACUGUAAGUUUGUUUGUGAAACAGCUAACCUUUUGAGUUUCACUUUGUCAAAAUAUUUUCAUGGAACACUACAGUACAAUUUUGAUAAAUUUUACAUUAUGAAAUAAAAUUAGUUAUAUAUGGCAAUUUAAACUCAUACUUUAUUCAUUUUUUUGGUUGCAUUAUAAAUAUUCAAAGAAUUUUGUAUAUUAUCUGUAGGUUCAGACUAUGGACAGUCUAAAGAAAAGCCAUGAGGAAUACAGAACCCAAUGUCAUCUCAAGUCGGUUAGAUUGUCAGAACUAGAAAGCUUAAUUCAACACAAGAAUAGUGAACUGGAAAACAAAAACAUAGAAAUGUGUCAUUCUGAGGAAAAAAAUAGAAAUCUAAUAAGUCAAAUUGACAGCUUGAAAAAAGAUCAAGAAGAAUUGGAAGAGCUACUAAGUUGCAGAGGUAAGUAAUGUACAUGUAUUAUACUCUAAAAAUGUAUAAUGAGGGAUGUUAUAGAAGCAUGGUUUGUAUUUGCUCGUAUAAUAUGCCUGUAACAUAUUGGUAGCAACAGUUGACAAUUUUACUACAACUGAUUGUCACAUUUUUUUGUACAGUGAAUAACCAUAAAGAGAAACUAGACCCUAUUUGAAUUCAAGGUCAUAGGUGAAUGGUUCUGACCGUUCAGUUUACAUGAUUUUAUGGUUGUGUUUAAAAGUGCAUCAAUCUUUACAUUUAAAAAAAUAUCAAUGGAAAUCUAGCUAUUGAUCCUUAAAAUAGCUAUUUUGACAAAAAUUAUAUUAUUCAUAUUAUUAAAGUAGAUUGCUAUGAGAUAAUAAUUAAAACUUCCAUACAGAAUAAAAUGUACAAUUUCAAAUUAUGUCUUGUUUUUGAAAUCCAUUAAUUUUGCAGUUUGUUAAAUGUAUUAGAUAGUCACAUUUUAAACAAGUCAUUUUUAUUUAAUCUAUCAAUAUCCAUACUCUUCCAAUAGGUGCUGUAAAUGGUGAGAGUAUGGGGGUAAUCAGUGACAAACGGAUAAAGGAAUUAGAAGAUGAAAUGGCACAUAUGAAGUCAUCGUGGGUUGAAUUGUCAACACAUGAACAACUACAACAGAAACUAGAUGCUGUUUCAGAAGCUAGAAAUACAUUUGAGGUUGGUAUGCUCAAUUAAUUUGAUCAGAUUUAAUGCAACUUUCUUUACAUUUCCAAACAAUAGACAAAUUUUCAGAUACCAAAUUCAAAAUUUAACGUAUGAAAUAGAUGCAGAUGCAUACAGUAAUUAUACUGAUGACACAGAAAUGUGUAUGUGCCAGCUGAUCAGGCAUUAACAAUCUUUAGAAAAUAUUUUUUAAAAUUAGAUGAAUAAAUUUAUUGCAAGGUUUUAUGUGCAAUUUUUCGAAAUUUAUACUGCACUGGAUUUUGUGCAUUUUCUUGAGAUUUAUAUAUUUAUAUAACAUUUCAUUAUGAACUGUGAAUUCUAUUAUAUCAAAAAUAGUUCCAAUGAAAAAAAAGAACACAAUCAAACUUUUUUACUAUCUUCUUUGCAGGCAAAGUUCAGUGAUGUUCAUAAACAGUUUUUAGAAAAAGACAGUCAGGUAGACCAACUUCAGCUGGAAGUUUCUCAACUUAAAUCUAGCAUUGAAGUUCAUCAAGAAAAUCAGACUGAAUUGGUAAAGAAAGUUAAUGAUGCAGAACAAGAGAUUAACGUUCUUAGGCAGUCAGAAGCCAAACUUAUUUCAUCUGAGGAAUCUGCUAUAGCUGCCAGGAAAACUGCUGAAGAACAAAUCCUGACAUUACAGAAAGAUCAGUCACGGUUACAGACAGAGUUCAAGUUAACAGUACAGGUGAGGCAACAUACAUGUAGCAGAGGAAUAAUUUGUCUUUAUUUGAUGAAUUUCUGGGAGAAAUAAAUUUAGACAAAACAUUUUGAACUAAAAGUUUAAACUUUUCAACCAAAAAUUGUUUUCUGUUAGAAAAAAAAGAGGCUUUUCAACAUGGUCUUAGGGCACUUUUCUGUCUUUUCCUAAUAUUUUACAACUUUUAUUUAUUUUUAUAAGAAUGAGCUUCAGUCCAUAUUAUAUCAGAAAAUCACUUCAUUAUGUAGGAAUACGAAAACAUGUGAAUUAAUACAAGCAUGACACACUCUCUACACUAUCUGUCAUUUUCAUGAGGUAUGCUGAAGGUAGAAAAUGACACCAAGAGCAUCUACAGAAAGGGAUUAAACAAAAUAUCUGUAAACAUUUUAGGUUACCUUUCCAUAACGAGUUAAGGUACAUCUUAUUACACUUUACUUUGUUGUUUUGUAGGAGUUAGAGGGCACUAAACAAGCAAGUGAGAACAGACGUCAAACCAUGGCAGCAUCUAUUGAUGUGGCUUUGUCUGAAAAGAAAACUCUAGAACAACGCCUUCUGAAGUCUAAUCAAAAACUUGAGGAACAAGUCACAGAGCUAAAAGCAAAACUUCAGAAGGAACAGGAAGAGUCGGCCAAGAGUGAGGAAGCACUGAAAUCUAAAGUACAAGCCUUGCAAUUGUCACUGAAGCAGACAGAAAUUCUUUUAGAGAAUGACCAAUGGACAAAGGAUAACACAAUAACAGCAAUGAGAGAGGAGCUUAAAGAAAUUCAGGAGGAACUUACAGAAACAGAAAAUAAACUUCAAAUUGAAAUUGCACAAUUAACUGAAAAUAAAAAUAAACUAGAAGAUCAAAUUGCAGAACAGAAAGAUUCAUAUGUGCAGAAAAUUGAUAACAUUUCAUCGGAACUACUUACUUUCAAAACAGCAGCUAGACAAAAAGAAAAUGACAUGUGUGACAAGUUGCAGACGGUCAAAGAUGAAAAUAUCAAUUUGAAAAAUGAACUUGACAAUUUGAAGACAGCCAGUGAGAAAACUGUAUCUACAAUGGAACAAAAAUAUUGUAAAUUUGAAAAUAAGGCGAAAGAUCAAGAAGAAAGCCUAAGGAAAGAACUUAAGGCUUUACAAGGUAAAUAUCAAUGGAGUCAACAUGAUCAAGAAUCACUGUCUGAAGAAAUAUCCGAUUUAAAUGACUUGAUUAAAGAAAAGUGCUUGGAAAUUGAAAACUUGCAAAGUGAAAUAUUGAAUCAUAAACAAUGUGAAAAUGAUUUGAAAGGUCAGGUGUCUCAGAUAACAAAUAGUAAAGAAAACUUACAAAAGCAGUUGGAAGAAAUGAAAGAAAAUAUGAGUGUUGAACAAGAAAAUCAUGCUGAAUUAGUGAAUAAGAUUUCACAGGAACAUGAAACUGAGAUUCAGAAAUUAAGAAAUUGUUUGUCGGCCAAAGAGGCAAGUAGUUUAGAUACCCAGCAGAACAUGGAAACAUGCAUGAAUGAAAUACAAACUUCACUAGAAAAAGAAAUGGAGAGAGGAAAAGAGAAAGAGAGAUUAUGUCAAAUUCAGAUUGCUCAAACUAAAAAUCAGCUGGCAGAAUUACAAGGGAAAUAUGAUAAGCAAACAGCAAGUCAUAAUACUAUUCAAACCACAUUAAAUAAUGAGCUAGAACAACAACGCAUUACAACUGCUGUGUUAGAGGAAAAGCUUAAUAAGGAAGUACAAAAAGGUCAAGCUGAAUUGAGUAAAAUCUCUGCUGAGUACAAUGAAUUGGACAUGAAAUAUAGAUCAGUGACUGAUCAUGAAAGAACACGUGACAGCAGAAUGAAGGAAUUACACCAGCAAAUAUCAGAGUUAGAAAGUCGGAAACGGGACUUGGAAAAUAUAAGUGAGAAGAAGAACGAGAAGGUUGAUGACCUCACUGGUCAGAUUGUUCUGAUUAAGAAGGUGGCCGAAUCUAAACAGGCAGACAAUGAUAAACUCUGUUCGGAAAAUAAAAAUUUGAAUGUGAAAGUAGAAGAUUUGAAUGAAAAGUUACUGAAGGAAUGUAAAGAAAAUGAUGAGAUGAGACACAAACAUAAAGAGAUUAAUUGUCAUGUUAAUCAGUUGGAGAACCAAUUAUGUGAAGUCAAUAAUAAACUUGUAGACACUGAAAAAGUGCUUGAAGAAAAAUCUUCAUCUCUUAGUCGGGAGGUUGAAGCUGUAUCUGAACGUGAUGCAGAGAUUUCUGAUUUGAAAAUUUCAUUAGGAAAUACAGAGGAAGAAGUUGUAUCUGCAAAAGAACAGGUUUUUGAACUAACUGAAGUGAACUCUGAAUUAAACAAAAGUCUUGAAAAUGUGAACAAUGAACUGAAAAAUUUGCAACUUGUUUUCAAUAAUAAAGAAAUUGAAUUGAAUGAGAAGAUUCAGACAUUAUUAGAAUCUCAUAAAAAUGAAAUUUUAGAAUUGAAGGAAUCAAGUGAGUCAGAAAUUAAAGUGCUGAACUCUGAAAUUGAAAAAAUGAAAUCUGAUUUGCUUUCAUGUGAUACUGAAAUUCUUAGACUUGAACAAGAAAACAGAGAUCUGAAGUCAUCGUUAGAACUAUUGAAGGAAGAGCAUUUGCAGGAAUUAGAACAGAUUCAUAGCGAGAAAGAAACAGUUUUAAAUGAAUGUGAAACAAGAUUGAAAGGAACAAAUGAAAAAUUAUAUAAAGAAAAGAAUGAACUUAUUGAAAGUCAUAAAAUGGAACUUCAGUCACUAAAUUCAGAAUUUUCAGAAUCAAAACAGAAGUUUGAAAAUACCAUUGUGCAACUGAAAGAGCAAUCCAAAAAUGAUUUAGAAUCAUUAAAAUGUGAAUUUAAACUUCAAGUUGAAAGAAUGACCACUGAACUUAAACAAGAACAUGAAAAAAUUAGCAGUCUGAAAAAGGAUUGUAAGGUAAAGGUCUCUGAAACUGAAAAAUACUGGCAGUCACAACUAGAGCAGCUGCAAGAGGAGUAUGCUCAAGCUAGUGAUGAACAGAAACAGGAAUAUGAUAGCCAAGUUCAGGAACAGGAAGUUAGGUACCAGUCUCAGUAUGAGGCACUGGUACAAGAGAGGGAAAUGAUCUUGUCCAAUCAGAAGAUGGCAUUCCAGGAAAGGGUGAAUUACCUUGAAAAUAGGCUUACUCAAAGACAAACUGAGAUUCAGACUUUGACGAAGGAAAUGGAUGAGGACAAAGGAAAGACAGAAACAGAUUACAAACAGAAGCUUGCUAAUAUUGAAUCUAUAUUGAAGAAAGAAAUGUCAAAUCAGAAAGACUUGAUGAAUGAAUUAAAACAAAAUAAGGAAAGGGUCAAUGAGCUUCAGUCUGCUUUGCGUGAAAAAAGAACAAGCUAUGAAACUUCCCUGAAAGCCAGUAAAAAUGCCUGGGACUCCGACCUCGAUAAUCUUAGGGAAGAGUACAAUUGUAAAAUGUCAGAACUUGAAAGGGAAAAGAACAGACAAAUAGAGGAUGAGAAGCAAAGAAGAAUAAACAUGGAAGAAUCUUGUCAUCAUCUGGAGGAUAGAAUGGAAACAUCUUUACUUGAAAACAAUAGUUUGAAACAACAGGUAAUAUUAUUAACUCGAUCUGUUUAUCUUGUUUAGGGCCAUUCCAGAAAAAAAUGUAUGGGGGUGUUGGAAGGCAGUUUUUGUCAGCACCCGCCACCCAGACAAUUGUAUUUGAGAAUUAUAGUGCAUUAUAGUGUGAAAAGUUGCUCUGAUACCCAUCACCCAUGUAUUAUUAAUAUAAUGUGCCUUCCAACCCCCCCCCCUACAUUUUUUUUCUGGAAUAGCCCUUAUAAUGAAAGACAUUUUCUAUAGUCUUAUUUUUGUUGAGCAUUUUUUUAAUCCAUUCUGUCUUACAAAUUAGAUGCAAAUAAGAACAUAUAAUUGAAUCUACACAAAAAAAUACCACCACUUGACAACUGUGUUAAAUGAAUCAAACAAACAUGAAAUAUUUUAAUAAUCAUUGAUAAUGGUUAAUGUAUUAGAUUUUUUAGGGGCAAUGAACAGUUUAAUUGUGUGACACAAAGGUAUUAUUCUUUAUCUUGCAGUUUCAUUAUAUACUAAGAGUAACACGGGACUAAUCCACUGCAUUUUAAAUGUUUUUUAUUUGCUGGGUUUUUUUUAUGCAUAUUUGAGCUCUAUUUAAUUAUUGAAAAUAUAUAUAUAUAUUUUCCAGUUGGCUGCAGUUGAAGAAGAGAAAAAUCAGCUUAUCCUUGACUAUGAAAAGACAUUAGAUUUAAAAACAAAUGACUUUUCCAAUCAAGAACAGUUAAAGAAGAAAAUAGAAAUGUUUAAAUCACAGGUAAAAAUUUAGUCCCAAAAAUAUGUUUAUUGGUAGAUUGUCAAAUUAUUAUACAAUAUAGUAUAGUAGUAUCAAUUAUUAUACAAUAUAGUAUAGUAGUAUCAAUUAUUAUACAAUAUAGUAUAGUAGUAUCAAUUAUUAUACAAUAUAGUAUAGUAGUAUCAAUUAUUAUACAAUAUAGUAUAGUAGUAUCAAUAACCAAAGUAGUUAUCAUGAUGAACAAACUUGUAUUUGUCAUUGAAGAGCACCAAGAUAUUAAAUUGUAAAACAAAAAAGGCUAUUUAGUUGAAAAAUGUUAUUUUAGCAAGCCUCAAAAUUUGGAUAUUUCCAAAUUUAUUUAUUCUUGGAACUACUACUUCUUUCAUGUUUCAUCUUGGAUGCAGUGAACAAUAUUUCGAGCAUAUUCAGGACGUUCUAUUUGACAACAUCUUUGUUUAUAAUGUUAUAAUAUCAAAUUCAUGCGUAGCAGUCAAAAAGAUGCACUGAUUACAAUAUUGUGUAUUCAAAUAUUUCGUUUUAGGUCCAGAAGUUAGAAGUGGAGAAAAAUUUCCAUCGAGAUCAAUUAGACAAAAAGGUUAAAGAACUGAAAGAGGAACUUGAGUAUAAGGAGGAACAGUGGUCUGAGGAAAUGGAGAGUGUUAAGAAACAAUAUACAGAGGCUAACCAACAGAAAAUACAUGUAUGUAAAAUAUCACUUGUUCAUUUUAUACUUGUCUCACUAAUUGGUUUAGUAAUUGCAAAGACAAAAAAGACUGUUGACUGAUUAAUGAACGUAUGUAGAUAGAAAGGUAACAUGACAUGAAUUAACAUGUAUUUACACUUUUUGUUGUCCUGAGUUUUCUCCCCUUGAUUAUUUGUGGGUCUAAAGUUUGAUAUAAUAAUGACCAAUAUUCACAUUUCUUUUCCACUUGCCAAAAAUGUAAAAUUUAUGUUGGUUUUCAGGUUGUGACCAUUUCUCAUUGUGUCAAAUUUCAGAAUCUUCACAGCAUUUGGUGCACACAUUUGAAAAUAUCACCCAGAAUGCAUUUUAAUGCAAAUAGUAAUUAUUGGACCACAAUGCUUUAUUGAUGUUUUUGAAUUCAUGUCUGAAAAAUUAUCCUAAAUAGAUUUUUAAGGAUGCAAACAAUUUCUUAUCCUUUCAGUCUGUAAUCACAGGGAAAAUGUCUAUUUCUGUAUUUUUAUUAUUUUUUGUUAUAAAUUUACACUCUAGCUUCAACAACAGAUGAAGAACAUUGGGGAGAACACUGACAAGAAAGACAAAACAAUUGCACAGUACCAAAAAUACUAUGCCCAGAAGAAAGAGACCAAUCUUCUUCUACAACAGGAGGUUAAUAUCAACAAAAAACUGGCCGACAACUUCAAAGAAAAAACGGAGAAGCUUGAGGCAGAAAUGAAUAAGUUGAAAAACAACUAUAAGGCAAAAUCUGAAAAGAUGGAAAAAGAACUUGAACAACUGAAAGUACUUAUAGAGGAGCAGAAAAAUAAGUUCUCUAAGACGGAGACUGAAGUGGCACCUGUGAAAUCUCAACUCCAGGAAGAACUGAACAAAAAUAAAUCACUUCGUAAGAAGCAAAAUUUUAGAUUAUUAAGGAUGUUUGCUACUUAUGUUUUUGAUGUAUUGUCUUAUAUUGGGAAUCCUAUAUACAUGUAGUGCCAUUAAAAAUAAUACCAGCCAUUCCCUACUUUUGUUUUUAUAAUUUUACAAAAUAUAGAAAAAAAAACAUUUUGAAAUCUAAUAAAUCCUUGUUAUUAUUUCAUUCUUUUUUAAAGGAAAAAAAUUAAACAUAGAAAACAAGAGGGUAUCAUAUCCUGCCAAAUUUUCGAUUGCUUAUAUCUCGAAAACAAGGACAACAACAUGGCGUUUUUUUCUGCCUUUCUUUGUUCCUUUAUAUUUAUAUACUAUUAAUGUAUAAGUCACUUGUUGUUUUGAAACAGAGUAGCGAACAUCCUUAAACAAAGUAGUUAAUUGAUAUGAUUUUAACAAACUGAACACAUGUAAUUUGAGGAUUUCAGCUGCAUACAAAUACAUGUGUAUACAUAUUUAUACAUUCUUGCGCUUGGCUUUUUGUAACGUUAAUUUGCCUCAGUGUCUGAAAACUUUCAGUGUUAAAGUAUACUAAGCAGAAGAAGUUAUGGUCAUAAAAAAAAUGCAGCUGUAUUAAAAAAAAACUCAGAAUUAUAGUUUUGUAUGCCAAGUGUGUGCAUUAUAUUCAAAAUUUAUAUUAUUGAUUCUUAAAUCAUGACGCUAUAAAAGGCCAAAUAAAGUAAGAAGUUGAAGAGCAAUGAGGGCCAAAAAUCAAAAAUGACUAUCAUGAAAUUAAUUCUUCCUUUUUGGAAAAAUGUGCAUUAAAUGAGGAUUAAUCCAUUUAUAUAUUUAUAUCUAUGCUAUCUUCCUACAACCAUAACAAACCAUCUGAUAAGAUGUAAGGGUCAGAAAAGUUCUUUUUGGUAUCGUAAGGACAUGUAUAAAUAAAUGGAGAAACUAAAAAGUAAAUUGCAAAAUUUUUACUUAUUUGAAAAAAAUUCUUUCAUAUCAAAAUACACAAUAUAUAUACAUCUGUACAACACAAUAAUAAUGAAUGAAAAUACAUACAUGUAUAUAAAAGUAUAAAGAAGGUGUUAAUUUUCAGUUUAAUAAGAGAUUGCAAUCUAAAGACAAAAGCGAACCAUUAAUAUCACAUUUUUUUUUUAUACUGUAUAAAAGUUUCUUGCUUUCUUUAAUCAAAAAGUUACAUUUUUCUGGAUUACUGAUGUACUGAUUUUAUUUGUCACUUGAUAGAAAACAAAGUAAAGACCUUGGAAGUUCAGUUAGAUUAUGCUGAUAAACAAGUGAGAGAACUCCGUCACAAGUUAGAUGAUGCUGGCACAGUGUUUUUGGGAGAUAAUACAGAGUUCAUGAAGUUAAAAAAAGAGUCAGAUGUUAGCCUAAUGGGUAAAGAAACAUUUCAUUUUAUUUAUUUAUACAUAUAAACAAUGAAGAUUCUAAAAAUUAUUCACUAUCCAAAAGAAUACUCAUCAAUAUAUUAUCUUGUUUUCAGUUAUUAAUAGAAUCAGAUAUUAUCUAUCGGUUUCAAGUUAUAUUAACCUUACUUUCGGAAUUGAUGAACAGUCUGAAAACAAAAAGCAAAAUGUUUCCUUCACAUUUUGUAUGCCGUAAAGGUGAGGAUGUAGACUGCAUUAUGAAACUUAAGUGAUAAGUCUUUAUUAUUUUAUAAUUUUUAAAUCCAAAUCUUUAGAAUAAAGUAUUUGACUUUUAUAAAAGUAUUUUUUCAUCUUUUAUUAUUUUUAUAGAAACCAGUUUCCGUGAUGAUGGUGGUCCACUUACUCCUUAUAACCUCCGAUCAUCAACUUCAAGAAAGUUCUCCUUGGAAAGGAACCCAUCUCGGAGUUCGUUACAACAUCUAUGUAAAAGGUUUGUUAUUCUGAUGCUUUGUAUUUUAUCAUAUGUUGGACCGAAAUGAAGUUGGGGUAUUUAUUUGAAAAUAAGAAGAUUGGGUAUGAUUGCUAAUGAGACUAUCCAUCAAAGACCAAAUGAUGUAAACUUAAGGUCAUUGUAUGGCCUUCAACUAUAAGCAAAACCCAUAUCGUAUAAUAAGAUACUAGGACAAAUCAAAUGAGAAAAAACUGCAGCCUCUAAAGAAUCUGAAAAAUGUUCAGAGUAAGUUUGUACUGGUAUUCUGCAUUAAUUUGCACAUGGUAAAUGAUCUUUUUAUAAUACAAAGUACCAAUAACAAACAAAAAGGGAAAAUUAUGAAAAUUAAUCUGACAGAAUUUUAUGUUUAUUUGAUAUCAAUACAUUUGGAAAAAAAGAAUUCUAAAGCAAUAAGUAUUUUGAAAUGUGGAAAACAUUCAAACGUUAAAACAAAACAAAAAAUUUCAACAAAUCUUAUUUAGUCAAACAUUCACAAGAUGAAUUCAGUUGUUUUAUAUUUUAUAUAGUGAUGGUGAUGAGAAGAGUAUUUCUCCUUUAUCAUUGAGAAGUCACGGCAGACGGUCAUCACUAUCUGAUCCUAACCUGAACGCCACCAUAGCUAGUAUAGAUUCUGUGAGAUCAACAACCUCAAGUAAGUAUAAUAAAUAUUAAAUGAUGUAGUUAUCUACUCAACAUGAGAGAAAAAAAUAUCAGUUAUUCAAUUACUGUGAACAUUGAAAUUUAAAGCUGAGUUUAUUUCGCAAUCAUUUAAAAUUUAAAAUAUCACCAAUGUAAAGGGCCAAUUUAUUAAUUUUAAGUUCAGUAGAUGUUGGUGGUUUUUUUAUAUGCUCUUUUUCUGUUUAACCAAGUUUGGUUUUUAUGCUUUCAAUGUUUUAAACUUUAUGCUUACCUGAUUUUUGGUCUGGUGGGUACCUGAUGAAGGUCUUUCUAACACAAAUUGGUAUCAAAUUUUGUUUCUGUUUUUAGGGUUGUUUUCUUUUUAGCAAAUUUUGUAAUCUGUAAUUUGUUUAUUUUUAUUUUUAAUUUUUAGAAGGUAUGAAAAGAUUUGUCAAUGAUGAGGACGAUGAAGGUGAAGUACUUGAAUGGAAGAGACUUGGUGAGUUAUCACGAAGAAACACACUUUGUCUUCCACAUCUUAAGACAUCAUACCCUGUAGAAACACAGAAGAUUCAACUCAGGGUUUUUCCUGACAGACAGCUGCAACAGAGCCAUCUGAGUACCAACAGUUUGAAGAAAAGGAAACAAGAAUUGGUGGACGAAGAUGAUAUAAAAACAGAAUUUUAUGACAGUACUAAGAACAAGCAGGUACACAUUUUUUCAUGUCUAAAAAAAGAAUGUAAACAAGUUAAAACUAUCUGAGAAAUCUUACAUAAUAUUCAUGCACGAAAAAAGAUAAAUAUUCUUACUUCACAUUGAGAGCUUCAGCUGUUAACACCUCAAAGCACUGGUCGAUUAUGUACAAUUUCAGACCAUCCAUCAUUGAAUUGAUGCCCUUGAAUUUGUGAUGUUAUCCAAUCAAAAUGAAUGUUACAUAUAAAGAAUUCUUUAUCAGUCAAUCACACUUGAAUCAAUGACUUGUUUUUUUGCAGGCCAAACAUGUUAAUACAGUUUAUCAGAAGCCGGGGCCACCUACACCUGGCAAUUCUAACAAGAGGAAUUCUAGAGGGACACCAGGAAGAGGUUUACUAAAUUCACCACGGUCUCCAAUGACUAGUGGUAGGAGACGAACACCAAAACGUACUCCAAAGAAGACACCUAAAAAGGAGACAAAUGAAAAUGUUAAGGUAAAAAAAAAAAAAAUAUUUUCAAGUAUUUGAAGUCAAGUUUCUAUUGGAGCUUUUUUUUAUGGUGUCUAAUGUGCAAAUUACCAAUGAUUUGGGUAAAUAUGAGGUGCAUUUUUAGCUAGCUAAAACCUUUUGUAAGCAAAAAAAAAAGAAACAAGUUUAAUUAUUGGCACCAUGUUUAGAAUGGGUUCUGUAAAUCAAUAUGUGCAUGAGGCCUGCAAGUUUCAUGAAAAAGAUAGAAACAAGACAGCAUCAAAUGAAAUUGUUCAUUUAUUAAAGGAACAGUACAUUUAUUAUUUUUCCUGAUCAGUAAAAUUGCUCACCAUAAACACAAACUUGUACUUGUAAAGAUAAAAAAAAAUAGAUUUGAAUAAAAAAUAUUCUGCUUUCAGCCUGCCACAACAUUUAGCAUAGGAUUUACUCCAAAGAACAAACGUUUGACACGGCAACAUGGUUUUGUGUCAGCUUCUAAAAGUUCGACGAAGGUUAGUAAGUUGAUCAACAUUUUCGAAAAGAAAUCUGUCUCAAAAACACCAGACACACCCAUGGAACAGAAGUCUUCACCAGCAAAAACACCAUCUCCUAGAAACAAGAGGCUUUCAAUAUCCAAAUUAGCGAAAGACAGGAGGUAAUAUCAACAACAAAUACACCAUUCCCAGAAACAAGAGGCUUUCAAUUCCAAAAUUAGCCAAAGACAGGAGGCUUUCAACAACAAAGCUACCUACAUCUCCACAAUACAAAAAGUCACCAGCUUUUGCCAUAAGAAAAAGGAAGUUAGCAACUUCUAAAGUACAAAUAUCUCCCAAAAACAGGAAGCUGUUGUUAUCAGGAAAUAGAACUCCAACAAGUCCUCGAAACAGGGAGUCAUUGUCUAGAAAGACUCCUAGAUCUCCAAUAAACAAAAAGUUGUUUUCGUUACAAACACCAACCACACCAAGAAAUAAGAAGCCACCAACAGGGCUCUUACUGAUAACUACACCCUUAAAAAACAUGGGCAAACAGCUUACACCAAUGAAAAAUUUAGCCAAAGUUUUUAAUAAGCUGCAAACCACACCGAAAAAAAUGACUGCAAAAGUUACUCCUAUUGUAACAAAGUAGAUUGUACAUCUUCAUACGGGAUUCUUAUUUUGUAGUUAUUCAUGUAUUUUUUAAAAGAUUGAAUGUAAACAAAAAUAGUGCAUUAUAUUAUUCAGGUCAGACACAACUGUUUUAUUACAUGUAUUUUAUUACAAUAAAUAAUUAGUCUUUUGAAAAUUCUUUCUUAUAAAAAAAUAUUUAUAUAUAUAAAAGCUGAUUUUCUCAAAUGAUGCAUUAUGUAAAUGGAUCUCUAAAAUUAACCUUUUUUUUUAUUAAAUUUAACUGAUAAAUGUUUGGCAGGAUCUUUGUUUAUUAAAAGUUUCUUGAAUGAAAUAAAGAGCUUUCUCUAAAUGGACUACAUAAAUAUGAGUUAUUCAAUUAUCAAUUUAAAAAUUUUAAGCCUUAUUAAAAACAAAAUUUAAAACAUGAAGUGUUUAUUUCACAAAAAUAUUUAUAUGAUAUAGGUAUUAUAAGUAAGUAAUUUGUAAAUUGAAAAUUGAAUUAGUAGGGACUCUAAAUAAAUUGUUCUGCCAAAUGUUUUGUAUAUAUCAAAUUUAAAUAUUUUGAAGUUUAAUUAAGUAUUUAUGUGCUCUUUAUUUAUAAUAUUUAAAACAUUAUUAAAAUAAAUUAAUAGUACAUUUUUAUGCCCACCUACGAUAGUAGAGGGGCAUCUAGUCGUCCCGUCUUCAAAAGUAAGGUAGUUUUUGAUGAAGUUGAAGUCCAAUAACUUGAACUUAGUAACACAUGUUCCUUAUGAUAUGAUCUUUCUAAUUUUAAAGCCAAAUUAAACUUUUGACCCCAAUUUCACGGUCCACUGAACAUAGAAAAUGAAAGUGCAUGUUUCAGGUUAAAGUUUUUUCAGGUUAAGUUUUUGGUCAAGGUAGUUUUUGAUGAAGUUGAAGUCCAAUCAACUUGAAACUUAGUACACAUGUUCCUUAUGAUAUGAUCUUUCUAAUUUUAAAGCCAAAUUAAACUUUUGACCCCAAUUUCACGGUCCACUGAACAUAGAAAAUGAAAGUGGCAUGUUUCAGGUUAAAGUUUUUUCAGGUUAAAGUUUUGGUCAAGGUAGUUUUUGAUGAAGUUGAAGUCCAAUCAACUUGAAACUUAGUACACAUGUUCUUAUGUUGAUCUUUCUAAUUUUAAAGCCAAUUAAACUUUUGACCCCAAUUCACGGUCCACUGAACAUAGAAAUGAAAGUGCAUGUUUCAGGUUAAAGUUUUUGGUCAAGGUAGUUUUUGAUGAAGUUGAAGUCCAAUCAACUUGAAACUUAGUACACAUGUUCCCUAUGAUAUUAUCUUUCUAAUUUUAAUGCCUAAUUAUAUUUUUUAUCCAAUUUCAUGGUCCAUUGAACAUGGAAAAUGAUAGUGUGAGUGGGGCAUCCGUGUACUUUGGACACAUUCUUGUUUUUCCAUGUGCUUAAAUUAUAAAUCUAAUUGCAAGAAGUUACAAAAUAAUUAUAUAAUUUAGUUUUGUAUUUCAUAUACAAAUGUAUUAUUAUUAUAAUUAUAACCAUAACGGCAACAUUUGAUGAAAAUCACUGCUUUACAAUGAAUAGAUGUGUUCAUAGGGAACUAUAUUAUCUGUCCCACUUUUCUUGUCUGUUUUGUUGUUGACUUCAGCUGUCAAGAAUGUUAACAUGGUAGGCAUUAGACUCAUUGUUUUCCUCAACACAUUGUUCACUGCUUCUCAUUUGCUUAAAAGUUUCAGUCCAGAAAUUUUUAAUCAUUGAUAUUUAAGCUAAAAUUAUUUGAAAAAUAAACAUUAUAAUAUUACUUUUGCAGUAGCUUUAUGAGGAGCACUUCUCAUUAACUUGCAUGAUUUCAGAGAUUUCAAUUAUGCAAUAUUAGUACACCAAAAACAUUGUUGAACGGGGAUUGUUUAGUUAUCACUUGUUCAUUCUAUUCUACUAAUGCACAUAUUAUCCUAUUGCACAGAAAGUUUUUGUUAAUUGUUUAUGCACUGUUCAAUUUUUUACAUAGAAACAUGCGUAUGCUAUAAAUUUCCAUAAUGGACAAAUAUUGAAUCAGAUUGGACAAUUGAAGUAUUCAUUUCAAACAGAAUAAUAAACAAAAACAUUUCUGCAUUAAUAAAUUUUCCAUGAAAAUCACACAUUUUUUUCAAAUUUUGGAGUACUAUAUUUCCAUAUUAUUAUUAAUAGUACUCCUGUAGUUCAGGAAAAGCAAAUGCAUAUUACAUGAUAUAAAAUAAGAAGACGUGGUGUGAUUGCCAAUAAGCCAACCUUCCACCAUAGACCAAAUGACACAGAACUUAAGAACUAUAGGUCACUGUAUGGCCUUCAACAAUGACUAAAAACCUUACACCAUAGUCGACUAUAAAAAGACCGAAAAUGAGGAAUGUUAAACAAUUUGAGUGAGAAUUUAGAAGGAGAGUAUACCUGUACUUGGAAUUCUCUAACUGAACAAAACAAUACAUGUAUGUAAUUGUUUGUAAUUCCUUGAAUAUUCUUUACAUAGUUUUUAUGAUAAACUUAAUAUGUUUUUUUCUCUUUUCAGGGACAUAAACCUAGACAGCCCUUAGCCGUUAAGAAUUGUUUCCAACAAACUGGUGUGUGA